CGUUUUGACACGAAGAGCCUCCACGAGAAACGAAACUACGCGUCGAGUAUAGGAGCAUCCACGAUUUUUUCUUGUCCACGUGUGGAGUGUUCAUCUUUAAACCCUCACCCUCACCUUUACCUUCUAAUUUCGAUUCUCGUGUUUAGGUCGCUAAGGAGGUCACCUUCCUUGAAGAAGCUUCAUUUGAAUCGAUGUGUUCAUUCAGUGCUACGAAAGGUGCUUGAUUCGAUAUGCGAUGAAGGGCUUCAGGCAGUGGCUGUGGCUUGCAAGGACUUUAUAAAGAGAUUAACAUAAGAAAUGGGAAAAAUGCUUGACAAGGAAGAAGUUAGGUGUUGAGAUUUCCGUUGAAGUACUUUUGUUAUAAUUGUAAAUCAGUUUAAUUCCAUCAACGGUCUCAAACACGGCAAGUAUAU